GGGGGUGUAAUUUAAUGGUAGAAUGACGGUCUCCAAAACCGUUCGUGUGGGUUCAACUCCUGCCACCCCUGCCA
rnacentral:tRNA from 1 species